AUAGUAUCUUCAUAAUAUGUCAUCUGUGAAUGGGAGAGGAGGCAAAAGAUGAAUUGAUGAGAACCUGAAGGCCAAUAUCAUCAAGAGAGCAGAAAUCCUUUCAAUAUAUGAGAUUCAUAGAUGGCAGCCUUCUUGCUCUGUCAGCACAUAGUGGAGAGAGAAAGCUGGUGUCUCUUCCUUUUUUUUUUUUUUUUUAUAAAGGCACUAAUCUCACCAUGAGGGCUCCACUUUCAUGACCUCAUCUAAACGUAAGUACCUUUCAAAGGCCCCACCUCCUAAUACCAACAUAUUGACGGUUGAGCCUAUAACACUUCUAAAGGGGGACAUACACAUUCAACCCAUAACAGAAAUUAAGUAGUAAUAAAAUAUACAACAUUGUUAAAAGUAAUUAGAUAUCUUUUCCUUUAUUUUAUUUAUUUAUUUAUCUUUGAGACAAGGUCUCACUCUGUCAUCUAGGCUGG
rnacentral:lncRNA from 10 species